rnacentral:rRNA from 1 species
CCCCAGGUCAGGGGGGGCUACCCGCUGAGUUUA